UACGUAGGGAGCAAGCGUUGUCCGGAAUCAUUGGGCGUAAAGAGCGCGUAGGCGGUCCGGUAAGUCGGUUGUGAAAGUCGGGGGCUCAACCCUCGGAUGCCGAUCGAUACUGUCGGGCUAGAGUCCGGAAGAGGCGAGUGGAAUUCCUGGUGUAGCGGUGAAAUGCGCAGAUAUCAGGAGGAACACCAAUGGCGAAGGCAGCUCGCUGGGACGGUACUGACGCUGAGGCGCGAAAGCGUGGGGAGCGAUCCGG
rnacentral:rRNA from 1 species